CACAUUCUUAGAGGUUGCUGUCUGUGGGUAGCAUGGUAAAAAAGAAUUGGGAGGUUUAAUAAUUAGUAUAAACUUAAAUAUUCUGAAAUUUGUUGGAAUAAUUUUAUAGUGAGGAAGAAGUAUUUGGUGACUAAUUUAUAUGUAAAUACAUAAAUAUAAUUUCUCUUUUCUAAAAGUGAAUGUAUAAAGGAGCUUUAAAAUGGUACAAAGAGAAACAUCCUAAGUUAAUUCUGUUUCUGUUUAUUUCAGGGCUGAAAAUAGUGAAAUCACGUUUCACGGUUAAAAAACUAUUAAGAAGGCAAUAUGGGGACUCCUGGUUCUGGAAGGAAAAGGACACCUGUAAAAGACCGAUUUUCUGCAGAAGAUGAAGCUUUGAGUAACAUUGCCAGAGAGAGCUCUGAAUAUGAAUGUGCCAACUCUUAAUAACCUGGUCAAAAGGCUCAGCUUAACCUUCAAUAUGAAAGGGUCAGUUUCUAUUAAGAUUCAAGAUUUUUAUUUGUAUGAGUGCCUAAUGUGUUAUGUAGAGUUUGAAAACUUUCGAGGAACUAGGUUUAGCAGUUUUAAUAAUUCCUUCAUAUAUUUCUUGUGAUUCUUUUUUUUCCUUUAAAUAAAGUUUUCAUAGCUAAUUCUCA